rnacentral:rRNA from 1 species
GACGAACGCUGGCGGCGCGCCUAACACAUGCAAGUCGAACGAGCGAGAGAGAGCUUGCUUUCUCGAGCGAGUGGCGAACGGGUGAGUAACGCGUGAGGAACCUGCCUCAAAGAGGGGGACAACAGUUGGAAACGACUGCUAAUACCGCAUAAGCCCACGACCCGGCAUCGGGUAGAGGGAAAAGGAGCAAUCCGCUUUGAGAUGGCCUCGCGUCCGAUUAGCUAGUUGGUGAGGUAACGGCCCACCAAGGCGACGAUCGGUAGCCGGACUGAGAGGUUGAACGGCCACAUUGGGACUGAGACACGGCCCAGACUCCUACGGGAGGCAGCAGUGGGGAAUAUUGCACAAUGGGGGAAACCCUGAUGCAGCGACGCCGCGUGGAGGAAGAAGGUCUUCGGAUUGUAAACUCCUGUUGUUGAGGAAGAUAAUGACGGUACUCAACAA